rnacentral:rRNA from 1 species
AAGUCCCGCAAGGGAUCGGUAGAGUGGCAAACGGGUGAGUAACACGUGGGUGACCUGCCUUCGAGUGGGGGAUAACGUCCCGAAAGGGACGCUAAUACCGCAUGACAUCCUGCCUUUGAACAGGUGGAGAUCAAAGCUGGGGAUCGCAAGGCCUAGCGCUUGAAGAGGGGCCCGCGCCUGAUUAGCUAGUUGGUGAGGUAACGGCUCACCAAGGCAACGAUCAGUAUCCGGCCUGAGAGGGCGGACGGACACACUGGGACUGAGACACGGCCCAGACUCCUACGGGAGGCAGCAGUGGGGAAUUGUUCGCAAUGGGCGCAAGCCUGACGACGCAACGCCGCGUGGAGGAUGAAGACCUUCGGG